AUGUGUGUAACUCAUGUUAGGAUGUGUGUAACUCAUGUUAGGAUGUGUGUAACUCAUGUUAGGAUGUGUGUAACUCAUGUUAGGAUGUGUGUAACUCAUGGUAGGAUGUGUGUAACUCAUGGUAGGAUGUUUGUAACUCAUGUUAGGAUGUGUGUAACUCAUGUUAGGAUGUGUGUAACGUGUGUAACUCAUGUUAGGAUGUGUGUAACUCAUGUUAGGAUGUGUGUAACUCAUGUUAGGAUGUGUGUAACUCAUGUUAGGAUGUGUGUAACUCAUGGUAGGAUGUGUGUAACUCAUGGUAGGAUGUUUGUAACUCAUGUUAGGAUGUGUGUAACUCAUGUUAGGAUGUGUGUAACGUGUGUAACUCAUGUUAGGAUGUGUGUAACUCAUGGUAGGAUGUGUGUAACUCAUGUUAGGAUGUGUGUAACUCAUGUUAGGAUGUGUGUAACUCAUGUUAGGAUGUGUGUAACUCAUGUUAGGAUGUGUGUAACUCAUGGUAGGAUGUGUGUAACUCAUGGUAGGAUGUGUGUAACUCAUGGUAGGAUGUGUGUAACUCAUGUUAGGAUGUGUGUAACUCAUGUUAGGAUGUGUGUAACUCAUGUUAGGAUGUGUGUAACUCAUGGUAGGAUGUGUGUAACUCAUGUUAGGAUGUGUGUAACUCAUGGUAGGAUGUGUGUAACUCAUGGUAGGAUGUGUGUAACUCAUGUUAGGAUGUGUGUAACUCAUGGUAGGAUGUGUGUAAUUCAUGUUAGGAUGUGUGUAACUCAUGUUAGGAUGUGUGUAACUCAUGGUAGGAUGUGUGUAACUCAUGUUAGGAUGUGUGUAACUCAUGUUAGGAUGUUUGUAACUCAUGUUAGGAUGUGUGUAACUCAUGUUAGGAUGUGUGUAACGUGUGUAACUCAUGUUAGGAUGUGUGUAACUCAUGGUAGGAUGUGUGUAACUCAUGUUAGGAUGUGUGUAACUCAUGUUAGGAUGUGUGUAACUCAUGGUAGGAUGUGUGUAACUCAUGGUAGGAUGUGUGUAACUCAUGGUAGGAUGUGUGUAACUCAUGUUAGGAUGUGUGUAACUCAUGUUAGGAUGUUUGUAACUCAUGUUAGGAUGUGUGUAACUCAUGUUAGGAUGUGUGUAACUCAUGUUAGGAUGUUUGUAACUCAUGUUGGUGUAUUCCUCCCUUCCCCUCUCAGUUCAAAAGGAUUUAUUGACAUGGAAAAUGUAACCACAUACACUGCCCAAUAA
rnacentral:lncRNA from 1 species